GACGAACGCUGGCGGCGUGCUUAACACAUGCAAGUCGAACGGUGAAGCGCUUGCCUUUUUGGUGGGUGUGGAUGAGUGGCGAACGGGUGAGUAACACGUGAGUAACCUGCCCUCUUCUUCUGGAUAACCUCAUGAAAGUGGGGCUAAUACGGGGUAUUCCGGGUCUGUCGCAUGGCGGGUUUGGGAAAGAUUGCGCCUUUGGGUGUUUUCGGUGGGGGAUGGGCUCGCGGCCUAUCAGCUUGUUGGUGGGGUGAUGGCCUACCAAGGCGGUGACGGGUAGCCGGCCUGAGAGGGUGGACGGCCACACUGGGACUGAGACACGGCCCAGACGCCUGCGGGAGGCAGCAGUGGGGAAUAUUGCACAAGGGGCGCAAGCCUGAUGCAGCGACGCCGCGUGAGGGAUGGAGGCCGUCGGGUUGGGAACCUCUUUCGCCAGUGAAGCAGGCCUGCUCCUGUGUGGGUGGGUUGACGGUAGCUGGAUAAGAAGCGCCGGCUAACUACGUG
rnacentral:rRNA from 1 species